rnacentral:rRNA from 1 species
AGAGUUUGAUCCUGGCUCAGAAUCAACGCUGGCGGCGUGCCUAACACAUGCAAGUCGAACGAGAAAGUGGAGCAAUCCAUGAGUACAGUGGCGACCGGGUGAGUAACACGUGACCAACCUGCCCUCGAGUGGGGAAUAACUCCGGGAAACCGGAGCUAAUACCGCAUAACAUCGCAAGAUCAAAGCCGCAAGGCGCUUGAGGAGGGGGUCGCGGCUGAUUAGCUAGUUGGUAGGGUAAUGGCCUACCAAGGCGAAGAUCGGUAGCCGGCCUGAGAGGGCGCACGGCCACACUGGAACUGAAACACGGUCCAGACUCCUACGGGAGGCAGCAGUGGGGAAUUUUGCGCAAUGGGGGAAACCCUGACGCAGCAACGCCGCGUGGAGGAUGAAGUCCCUUGGGACGUAAACUCCUUUCGACCGGGACGAUACUGACGGUACCGGAAGAAGAAGCACCGGCUAACUCUGUGCCAGCAGCCGCGGUAAUACAGAGGGUGCGAGCGUUGUUCGGAAUUAUUGGGCGUAAAGGGCGCGUAGGCGGUGCGGUAAGUCACCUGUGAAAUCUCCUGGCUCAACUGGGAGCUUGCAUGCGAAACUGCCGUGCUGGAGUGUGGGACAGGUGCGUGGAAUUCCCGGUGUAGCGAUGAAAUGCGUACAUCUCGUGAGGAACACCUGUGGCUAAAUCGGUGCACUGGACCACGACUGACGCUCAGGCGCGAAAACUACAGCAGCAUACAGGAUUAGAUACUCUGG